ACACAAAGAUGGCGAUGAUCAUAACAUAACAAAGUUUCGAACAUCGUAACGGUUCGGAAACUCUUUAUAUAUUAUGAUCGUGAUACCCAGCUACAAUCUCAUAAUAUAAAAAAAUUAUUUGCGCUCAACGCAGCUUCAUUUGAUCUGCAACUGAGACAUAUAUAGAAGAUAAGCAAAGAUACAGAGGCAAACUGCGGACGCGGCAUGUGAGCGACGAUAACAAUCAGUCGCAGGACGACGGUGACACCCCGCAGCAGCAGCAGCAGCAGCAGCAGCAGGCUGGCUUCAUGAAUCCGUGGGUCGACAAGGCGCCAACAAACAAUUGCACUCAGGCCGUCGUCAGCGCGGAUGUAGAUUUGGGGAAGGAGGACAGUGUUGAAAGGGACCGGAUCGCCAUGUCACAGCUGCAGGGAACGAUCCAGCCGGAGACCGGUGACAAGGAGAAAACUACGAUGUCGCUGUUAAAAGGUA